rnacentral:rRNA from 1 species
CCUACGGGAGGCAGCAGUAAGGAAUAUUGGUCAAUGGACGAAAGUCUGAACCAGCCAUGCCGCGUGAAGGAUUAAGGCCCUCUGGGUUGUAAACUUCUUUUAUCUGGGACGAAAAAAGGGUAUUCUUACUCACUUGACGGUACCAGAGGAAUAAGCACCGGCUAACUCCGUGCCAGCAGCCGCGGUAAUACGGAGGGUGCAAGCGUUAUCCGGAUUUACUGGGUUUAAAGGGUGCGUAGGUGGGCUUGUAAGUCAGUGGUGAAAUCUCCGGGCUUAACCCCGGAAACUGCCAUUGAUACUAUAGGUCUUGAAUUAUCUGGAGGUAAGCGGAAUAUGUCAUGUAGCGGUGAAAUGCUUAGAUAUGACAUAGAACACCAAUUGCGAAGGCAGCUUACUACGGAUACAUUGACACUGAGGCACGAAAGCGUGGGGAUCAAACAGGAUUAGAUACCCUGGUAGUCCACGCCCUAAACGAUGGAUACUCGACAUCAGCGAUACACUGUUGGUGUCUGAGCGAAAGCAUUAAGUAUCCCACCUGGGAAGUACGAUCGCAAGAUUGAAACUCAAANAGAUAGAGNGNGAGAGNGCGAGAGACACGAGGGAGGAGG